AUCUUAUUAAUAUAUUAAAAUAGUAUAUUUGAUUUCCAAUCAAAAAGUUUAAAAAUUUUAAAUAAGAUA
rnacentral:tRNA from 1 species